UGCACAACCCUUUGCCCGUCUGCUGAAGGUGCCGGAGGUCCAUCCUAUAAGAGGUCAAGCUAAAGGAGCCCGAGAUAGCCAGUAUGAGGCAGUACAUCAGCACAAGCCUCCAUGUCUGGGUUGUCUUGCAACGACCGUCUGUCCACUUCACAGUGUGUAGCAACGCUUCGGCGUGCAGUCUGAUGGGGUUUAGAGGGGCGAUCUUGGGAGCAGCUGAAGAGAGAGGAGCCUUCUAGGUAUCCCGGAAGGUGACAGCCACAGUGUUGGACUCCGGUCAGGGCCUCGGUGAUGUUGACUUCGAGUACUCUCAUGACAACAGGAACCUCUGCACCAGCCCAGGUGCCCCUCCUGUGCAUUGAAGAUGGAUUCACAGCCCCGGCUCUCAGAAAGAUAAGUGCAGGGCAAAGACCC